rnacentral:rRNA from 1 species
UACGGAGGGUGCAAGCGUUAUCCGGAUUCACUGGGUUUAAAGGGUGCGUAGGCGGAUUUGUAAGUCCGUGGUGAAAUCUCCGAGCUUAACUCGGAAACUGCCAUGGAUACUAUAAGUCUUGAAUGUUGUGGAGGUUUGCGGAAUAUGUCAUGUAGCGGUGAAAUGCUUAGAUAUGACAUAGAACACCGAUUGCGAAGGCAGCAGGCUACACAAAUAUUGACGCUGAGGCACGAAAGCGUGGGGAUCAAACAGG